CCCCCAUUGGUGGAGGUCCAGAGGAGGCACAGCUUCAAGGUGAUUGACAAGAGAAGCAAUGUCGACGUGUGGCUUUCACAGAGAGAGAGAGAGAGAAAGCAGGACUGUAGGGUGAGUUGGCAGUCUGCCUCAGAUCCUCCAUCACUGUCUACAAGUUGGAAAGAAGAUUACGCUUUGCCUGCAAAAACGAAAAACCACUGGACCAACUCAACAAUGCAACUUUUACUGGACAGACCACCAGGAAAUUGUGAACUGUUCUUUAAUACCUCUGGAUUUACUAAAACCCGUAAUUUAUGGCCUAUCUCCUCUCCUGUCUUCCUUAAUUUCCUGAGGGCAUGUGUGUUUUAAAUGCUUUGUCAAUAAAUCCUAUCUUUGAUGUCAACUUAAA